rnacentral:rRNA from 1 species
AACGGCGAGUGAAGCGGCAAUAGCUCAAAUUUGAAAUCUGCUCUUUUAGAGUCGAAUUGUAAUUUGUAGAGGAUGCUUCGGCUUACGUUUCGGUCUAAGUUCCUUGGAACAGGACGUCACAGAGGGUGAGAAUCCCGUUUGUGGCCGAGACUUCCGCCAUGUGAAGCUCCUUCGACGAGUCGAGUUGUUUGGGAAUGCAGCUCUAAAUGGGAGGUAUAUUUCUUCUAAAGCUAAAUACCGGCCAGAGACCGAUAGCGCACAAGUAGAGUGAUCGAAAGAUGAAAAGCACUUUGGAAAGAGAGUUAAAAAGUACGUGAAAUUGUUGAAAGGGAAGCGCUUGCGACCAGACUUGCCCGCGGAUGCUCAACCGGUCCUUCGGCCGGUGCACUCUUCCGCGGUCAGGCCAGCAUCAGUUCGAGUAGCCGGAUAAAGGCAUUGGGAAUGUGGCUCUCUUCGGGGAGUGUUAUAGCCCUUUGUGCAAUAUGGCUCAUUUGGACUGAGGCCCGCGCUUCGGCUAGGAUGCUGGCGUAAUGGUCGUAAGCGGCCCGUCUUGAAACACGGACCAAGGAGUCUAACAUCUAUGCGAGUGUUUGGGUGUCAAACCCGUGCGCGAAAUGAAAGUGAACGGAGGUGGGAACCUUAGGGUGCACCAUCGACCGAUCCUGAUGUCUUCGGAUGGAUUUGAGUAAGAGCAUAGCUGUUGGGACCCGAAAGAUGGUGAACUAUGCCUGAAUAGGGUGAAGCCAGAGGAAACUCUGGUGGAGGCUCGCAGCGGUUCUGACGUGCAAAUCGAUCGUCAAAUUUGGGUAUAGGGGCGAAAGACUAAUCGAACCAUCUAGUAGCUGGUUCCUGCCGAAGUUCCCUCAGGAUAGCAGUAACGUUUUCAGUUUAUGAGGUAAGCCAAUGAUUAAAGGGCUUGGGGUUGAA